rnacentral:rRNA from 1 species
AGAGUUUGAUCCUGGCUCAGGAUAAACGCUGGCGGCGUGCCUUAGGCAUGCAAGUCGAACGCCCCGCCUUUGGCGGGGAGUGGCGGACGGGUGAGUAACGCGUACGAACUUACCCUGAAGUGGAUGAUAGCUUGUCGAAAGACGGGGUAAUCAUGCAUAUUUUCGCGAGAACAAAGGCCGUAACUGGCCGCUUUAGGAUGGGCGUGCGUCCUAUCAGCUAGUUGGUGGGGUAAUGGCCUACCAAGGCGAUGACGGGUAGCUGGACUGAGAGGUUGGUCAGCCACAAGGGCACUGAGACACGGGCCCUACGUCUACGGACGGCAGCAACCGGGAAUAUUGCGCAAUGGAGGAAACUCUGACGCAGCGACGCCGCGUGUGGGAUGAAGGUCUUCGGAUCGUAAACCACUGUCCUCCGCCAUAAAGGCGGAGAAGAAAGCACCCACAAACUACGUGCCAGCAGUUGCGGUAAUACGUAGGGUGCAAGCGUUAUCCGGAUUUAUUGGGCGUAAAGAGUCGCGUAGGCGCCCCACCAAGUUUUCGUUUAAAUACUAAGGCUUAACCUUAGAAAUGGCGGAAAAACUGGCGGGGUUGAAGAUUGUUGGGGAUUUUGGAACUUUCAGUGGAGCAGUGAAAUGCGUUGAUAUUGAAAGGAACACCGAUGGCGAAGGCAAAAAUCUAAGCAAUUCUUGACGCUGAGGCACGAAAGCUUGGGGGAGAGAAGCAGAUUAGAGACCUGCGUAUUCCAAGCCGUAAACUAUGCCUGCUAGAUUGUCCGCCUCUGGCGGACAGUCGUAAAGCUA